GGUGGUAUGGUCUAGUGGUAUGACGUCGCGUUGUGGCUGCGAUCCGCGCCAGCCUGGGUUCGAGUACGUUACCU